rnacentral:rRNA from 1 species
UGAACGCUGGCGGCGUGCCUAAUACAUGCAAGUCGAGCGAACGGACGAGAAGCUUGCUUCUCUGAUGUUAGCGGCGGACGGGUGAGUAACACGUGGAUAACCUACCUAUAAGACUGGGAUAACUUCGGGAAACCGGAGCUAAUACCGGAUAAUAUUUUGAACCGCAUGGUUCAAAAGUGAAAGACGGUCUUGCUGUCACUUAUAGAUGGAUCCGCGCUGCAUUAGCUAGUUGGUAAGGUAACGGCUUACCAAGGCAACGAUGCAUAGCCGACCUGAGAGGGUGAUCGGCCACACUGGAACUGAGACACGGUCCAGACUCCUACGGGAGGCAGCAGUAGGGAAUCUUCCGCAAUGGGCGAAAGCCUGACGGAGCAACGCCGCGUGAGUGAUGAAGGUCUUCGGAUCGUAAAACCCUGUUAUUAGGGAAGAACAUAUGUGUAAGUAACUGUGCACAUCUUGACGGUACCUAAUCAGAAAGCCACGGCUAACUACGUG